GAAUCUUGGCCAAUGGGCGAAAGCCUGAUCCAGCAAUGCCGCCUGCAGGAUGAAGGCCUUCGGGUUUUAAACUGCUUUUGUUCGGAACGAAAACCUUUCGGUUAAUACCCUGGAGUCAUUACGGUACCGUAAGAUUAAGCACCGGCCAACAACUUUCCAGCAGCCGCGGUAACACGUAGGGAGAAAGCGUUAAUCGGAAUUACUGGGCGUAAAGCGUGCGCAGGCGAUUUUGUAAGACAGAGGUGAAAUCCCCGGGCUCAACCUGGGAACUGCCUUUGUGACUGCAAGGCUAGAGUACGGCAGAGGGGGGUGGAAUUCCGCGUGUAGCAGUGAAAUGCGUAGAUAUGCGGAGGAACACCGAUGGCGAAGGCAACCCCCUGGGCCUGUACUGACGCUCAUGCACGAAAGCGUGGGGAGCAAACA
rnacentral:rRNA from 1 species